rnacentral:rRNA from 1 species
UAGGGAAUCUUCGGCAAUGGACGAAAGUCUGACCGAGCAACGCCGCGUGAGUGAAGAAGGUUUUCGGAUCGUAAAACUCUGUUGUUAGAGAAGAACAAGGACGUUAGUAACUGAACGUCCCCUGACGGUAUCUAACCAGAAAGCCACGGCUAACUACGUGCCAGCAGCCGCGGUAAUACGUAGGUGGCAAGCGUUGUCCGGAUUUAUUGGGCGUAAAGCGAGCGCAGGCGGUUUCUUAAGUCUGAUGUGAAAGCCCCCGGCUCAACCGGGGAGGGUCAUUAGAAACUGGGAGACUUGAUUGCAGAAGAGGAGAGUGGAAUUCCAUGUGUAGCGGUGAAAUGCGUAGAUAUAUGGAGGAACACCAGUGGCGAAGGCGGCUCUCUGGUCUGUAACUGACGCUGAGGCUCGAAAGCGUGGGGAGCAAACAGG